rnacentral:rRNA from 1 species
GAUAAACGCUAGCGGCAGGCUUAACACAUGCAAGUCGAGGGGCAGCAUAGAUUGUAGCAAUACAAUUGGUGGCGACCGGCGCACGGGUGCGUAACGCGUAUGCAACCUACCCGUCACAGGGGGAUAAUCCGGAGAAAUCUGGUCUAAUACCCCAUAACAUAUGGAUCGGCAUCGGUUCAUGUUGAAAUUUUCGGGGGUGCCGGAUGGGCAUGCGUAGCAUUAGCUUGUUGGUGAGGUAACGGCUCACCAAGGCGACGAUGCAUAGGGGGACUGAGAGGUUUUCCCCCCACGCUGGUACUGAGACACGGACCAGACUCCUACGGGAGGCAGCAGUGAGGAAUAUUGGUCAAUGGACGCAAGUCUGAACCAGCCAUGCCGCGUGCAGGAAGACGGCUCUAUGAGUUGUAAACUGCUUUUGCAAGAGGAUAAUUGCGGGUACGUGUACCCGCUUGAAGGUACCUUGCGAAUAAGGAUCGGCUAACUCCGUGCCAGCCGCCGCCGUAA